UACAUUUGCAGCCAUAAAAUCAUACAUAACAAACAUUUAAAAUAAUUUUAGCAUG
rnacentral:ncRNA from 1 species